CACACUUUCUCUUCUCUGGCAGUGUAACAUGGAUUUACACCAGCAGAAGUAAAGGAGCUUCCAGGUUGUCCGUCUCAGAGUGACACCGCGUGUUUGCUUCCCUUAUGUUCUGAGGCUUCUACCUUACAGGAAGAAGAUCACACAUGAACAAAGACAGUAAGGGACAUCUAAAGACGCAAAGGUAAUGAUAACUGCAUGAUGGUGAGAUAACUUGAAAGAGUCCAGAUCUGCUACUACCCAUUCC
rnacentral:lncRNA from 1 species